GGAGUCAGAUUAGAACUGGGGUUCAGAGUAUUAUAUGGAGUCAGAUUAGAACCGGGGUUCAGGGUAUUAUAUGAAGUCAGAUUAGAACCGGGGGUUCAGAGUAUUAUAUGGAGGCAGAUUAGAAGCGGGGUUCAGGGUAUUAUAUGGAGGCAGAUUAGAACCGGGGUUCAGGGUAUUAUAUGAAGUCAGAUUAGAACUGGUGUUCAGGGUAUUAUAUGGAGGCAGAUUAGAACAGGGGUUCAGGGUAUUAUAUGAAGUCAGAUUAGAACCGGGGGUUCAGAGUAUUAUAUGGAGGCAGAUUAGAAGCGGGGGUUCAGAGUAUUAUAUGGAGGCAGAUUAGAAGCGGGGUUCAGGGUAUUAUAUGGAGGCAGAUUAGAACCGGGGUUCAGGGUAUUAUAUGAAGUCAGAUUAGAACUGGUGUUCAGGGUAUUAUAUGGAGGCAGAUUAGAACAGGGGUUCAGGGUAUUAUAUGAAGUCAGAUUAGAACCGGGGGUUCAGAGUAUUAUAUGGAGGCAGAUUAGAAGCGGG